rnacentral:rRNA from 1 species
UACGUAGGGUGCAAGCGUUGUCCGGAAUUAUUGGGCGUAAAGAGCUCGUAGGCGGUCUGUCGCGUCUGCUGUGAAAACUCGGGGCUUAACCCCGGGCCUGCAGUGGGUACGGGCAGACUUGAGUACUGCAGGGGAGACUGGAAUUCCUGGUGUAGCGGUGAAAUGCGCAGAUAUCAGGAGGAACACCGGUGGCGAAGGCGGGUCUCUGGGCCGAUACUGACGCUGAGGAGCGAAAGCGUGGGGGAGCGAACAGG